rnacentral:rRNA from 1 species
CGGAGGAAAAGAAACCAACAGGGAUUGCCUUAGUAGCGGCGAGUGAAGCGGCAAAAGCUCAAAUUUGAAAUCUGGCACUUUCAGUGUCCGAGUUGUAAUUUGAAGAAGGUAUCUUUGGGUCUGGCUCUUGUCUAUGUUUCUUGGAACAGAACGUCACAGAGGGUGAGAAUCCCGUGCGAUGAGAUGUCCCAGACCUAUGUAAAGUUCCUUCGAAGAGUCGAGUUGUUUGGGAAUGCAGCUCUAAGUGGGUGGUAAAUUCCAUCUAAAGCUAAAUAUUGGCGAGAGACCGAUAGCGAACAAGUACAGUGAUGGAAAGAUGAAAAGAACUUUGAAAAGAGAGUGAAAAAGUACGUGAAAUUGUUGAAAGGGAAGGGCUUGAGAUCAGACUUGGUAUUUUGUAUGUUACUCUCUCGGGGGUGGCCUCUACAGUUUACCGGGCCAGCAUCAGUUUGAGCGGUAGGAUAAGUGCAAAGAAAUGUGGCACUGCUUCGGUAGUGUGUUAUAGUCUUUGUCGAUACUGCCAGCUUAGACUGAGGACUGCGGCUUCGGCCUAGGAUGUUGGCAUAAUGAUCUUAAGUCGCCCGUCUUGAC